GAUAUAUGGUGACUACUUUGAAAAAACGUCGUAUCUUGUUCUGUCAAUCAAAAGAAAAAUGUUGUAACUAUGUAUGGGAUGCAUACAGAGUUAUAGUUGAAUUAUCGAGAAGAUGGAAUUGCAUUUGUAGUGGUUGUAUGCUGAUAGUACAAGAAAAUAGAAAAUUCAAAUAUAGAAUGCCUGUAAACAAACAAUACUACUACAUAUGCAAUUCCACGCUCUCGAUGAUACGACUAUACUGCGUUUUAACUUUGAGUAGCAGUGCGAGAUACGAGAUUUUUUAAAGUAGUGACGAUGUAUGUGGAAUAUUAUGUGGGUUCAGUUCAGAUAUCGUAUCGGCUAUUGUGGAACCGCGCCUGCAUUAUCGUCGCUGGAUGUUAUAAUUGCUAUCAUUUUACGAUUGUUUUUCGUGGGAAAUCUGCUGUGCUAUUCUUGUUACUUAAAUGCCUGCCAAAUGUCUAGUGUAGGAGUGUUUGCACUCUCGAUUCAAUAUUCAUCAUUUAGAAAUAUUAUAAUAAGUUAUUAUAAAUUUAAUUAUGAAUCUAAACAAGGGAAAUAAUCAUUAUUAGACGUAAGUGCACUUCAAACUGCGUUAAAAGACCUUCACUUGUAUCGCCGGAAUCACUGUCAAAUAUUAUUCUUAAUAGAUAAUGAACUAUUUUCGAAAGUUGUAAUAAGAAUCAUAUAAUAACGCUAAUAAAACGGGGUCCCUUUGUUUGACAUAAAAUUUUAAGUCAUAAGGUAUUGUUUGUCAUAUUAUCAUUAGUCCUAAAACUGAAACCGUAAAAAACUUUUCAGGAUUUUCGUAAGGUUAUCCUAUAGAUGGGUUACAUUAGGUUUGUUUUAUGGCAAUCCUGAAAAGUUACGCGUUUCUGAACCAAACAAAUUAUAACUAACGAAAAUGCAGACAAACAAUACAUUAUGACUUAAAACUUUUUGGGAAACAAUAGAGGCCCUAAUAAACCAUCUGAGGGUAUCUCGUUUAAGGAAUAGUGUAAGAAUGUUUUAACUUAUCAAAUCAUUGUACCCGUCGUUUUGAGCUUCGAGUUAAUAUAAACAUUAGAUUAAGAUUAUUAAUUUUAAAAUGUCGGCCGAACUAAUUUUAAUUAUGACAAUGAUUGAAAUAUUAUUGCUUUAAGUUAACAUAUCCAGUUUUAUCAAACGAGCAUUGAUAGAAUCACUACUUAAAUCUGGCUCAAGAUGCCCUCUUUUUAUUUUACUAUUAGGAUUUAGCAAUAUUGUUAAUUAUUCUACGAAGUGUAGUUUAUAUACGCGAUGAAAGUUCUUUAACCAAAAACUUGACGCUGAAUUAGGUACUUACCUAAAUAUUUAACACAUUCAGUGCCGAAAACCCGACUAUCGGGUAUUUUAUGAUUUCGUUCCCAGGUCGGACGACCCGAUAGUCGGGAUCGUGGUACUACUGCUUUAUAUGACGAAAUUAUUGUGGCCUGGCGCGGAUGUCUUAUUUGGCUGGGUGGCAAUGAAUGUGUUAAAAGCAGACCGCGAGGAUCACCGAGUUUUAUUAUUUAAGUAUGUUGUUAGCUGUAGGCGCUCGAACAUCUAUAUUAAUAUUAUAUUAUACACGUAAAUGUUAAGAUAUAGCUCCCAACAAAAACCGCAAUCCCCCUCGAGGCCAAAAAAUAAGGUUGUUAUACCGCCUUUUUAGUUAUAAGCUUUUUUCUAUCUUAUUUUUAUUUUGCGGAUAUCUAAUAUCGAUCAUAGUAACUUAUGGCUCUUAAAUGUAUUAUGAACUCUUAAAAGGAUUCUAGGAAUCAAGUUAUCUUAUAGAUACCGAUUUUUUGCAUAUUUUCUGCUGAGAUCCUUUGGAAAAUUUCUUGCAAUUCUGUUGUUCAUACUGAAUCAAUAGGUAUCCAUUGCUCAUAUAACAGUUUAAUUUCAUGAAUCAUUUUUUUUCCAUUGCGUCUAAAUUAAUCGAUUUGAUUUAAGGUAUCCAGAUAGGAAUCCUGUAAACUUUUUAAGAGGCACGCGAGUAAGUUGCGGGCCUUCACAUUUUUAGGAUGUAUACUUUAAAUUUCUGGUUUAAAAGUCUCCGAUAAAUUACGACUUAGUAGUUACACUGAAGAGUAGGAGAGAUAACAUGGGAUGUAUUGUAUCUUAUCACUCUUACUCUUCCUGUAAAUAUCUUCCUAAAAGAUAAUUAGUAAACUUCCUAGUACUUACACAAAUGUUUAUACCUAUCGCGUCGAAUGAUGUCCAUAUGACUGUUCCUUCGAGUCUCUUUUGGGUGGACUAAAUUAAUACAAUAAUCGAUGAUAUAUCUUACCGUAUUUUUAUUAUUUAAAUGUUACAUUUGUAUUUGUUGAUUCUGAAUAAGGCCCCUGAGGGCUUACCGUAGACAUAGCAAAUCGAAAUUUUGUCAUCUGACUCUCUCUUUCUAUUGCUUUUGCACAUUUGAGUAACAGGGCGGCGAAUAACGUUAGUGGCAGGCCCUCUGAGCAACAAACGGGGCAACGGAACGUGACUUUCUGUUACUGUCAAAUGCUCCAAAAUAAAUGUGAAAUACAUUAAUGUGAUAAACUAAACUUAUGAAAAAAUGUCUACAAAUAUAUUACGUGUCAUUCGACGCGAACGGUAUAGAAAGAUUUUGUAAAAUACUCACAUUAAAUUUACUUUUUACGCCAAAAGAAACUAAAAAUAAUUUUACCAAGUACAACAAAUACAAAGUAAAAAUGUGACUUUCCAUCAGAGAAGUGUCCUUGUGCUGGAAGCAUAAGGACCCUUCUGGGAUGGAAAGCAGCAAAUACUUUUCCCGACCACUAGCAAAUAAAACUAAAUUAAAUUUGUGUCUACCUAUAAAAGAAACCUAGCAGUUUUGAGUACUUGGUAUUUGUCUUUUCGUGUAAAUUAAUAAUAUGAUUUCAUAAUUGCUGUGAAUGAAUUUGUAAGAUCUGUUAGGUAACAGCCUGAUAUAAUUAUUUACAAAAAAAUUGAGCGCUCGCAACUGUUUUCGCAUAUGUUGCUAUUUUUAUAUUAUAUGACUAAGAUUAUGUUAUAUGUAUUUGACACACCAUAUCUAAUACUGGACCCAAAUGUUUCUGACACGAAUGUUUUCCGUGUAUAGUCCACAUAGUACCUAAAGUGUUAUCUUAGAUUAGUCUUCAGAUUUCUUCGUGCAGGGUAAUUUCAUGGAGUUAUUGAGGUGGUUAGCUGUGGCGAGUAUUGUAAUAGUAGCGCUCAAUCCGCGUACAAAGAUCGUCCUUUAUAUUUAACAUGUUUAAGCCGGUAUCUUUGUCGAGUUUAGUCAAUUCAAGGUAAAAUCGUCGUAUUUCCAUUUUAUUAGGCUAAGUCUAGAUAUUAAUUGUCUACCUACAUUAAUCACGCACUGUAACUUGUUUCUAAUAAGUCGUAUUUUUUUUACAUAUAAAGUGGCAUCAAUGAUAUCUCCGCCUGAUUGUUAACUAAAUUUGGAACCUGAAUGUUAAUGCACACAAUUAAGUCCACUGUUUUGUAAUUAAAUGUUACUUAUUGAUUCAACAAUCAAUGUAUUAUAAAAUUGAUAAAACAUUUGCCCACUUGUUAGCAACAGAGUACCUAACUACUAGUAACGUUGAACAGCUAAAUUGCCUUAGUGAACUAUUUAAUAAAAACUUAGCAAUAGUAAAAUCCGAGCGUCUCAUUAAUUGCCUUAGAAUGAUUACCUAUAUACCUAUACAUAUAAUCCAUGGAAUAAUGUAAACUAAAGUGCUUAUACACAUGUUUAUUAGGCCUUUAAGAUACGGGAUUAAAACGAUGUAGAAUGGAACGAUAACUCCAAAAAUAAUGUAAAUGUGUGUGUAGUCGUAGUCUGCACUUUCUGCCUUUCUUUAUUGGUAAACCACUGAUUAAAUUAAAUCUUAUUUUCCAUUUGAAUAAUUUUGCCAUCAGAAAAUGUUAGCGGAUCUUUUUCCGCAUUUUUCGCACUUGGGCUUUGUUCUAGCAGGAUGUUCCAUAUUAUGACAAAAUGGUAUAGAAAAAUUUGCCCGUGUAGAAUUGUAUUAACUUCAAGUUCUUGAUUCUGUUUUUUUUUACAGAAAAUAUUUUUCAAACUUCUGUCCGUUCACUCUGAUUAUGAAUACCACUAAGUACUACCACUGUAAACAAUUAGCAUAGAGUCGCGUUUUAAAGUAGGUACGAUUCCCACCGAACCGGCGGAGUCGGCGCGCAUGUCACAUUUGUACGGCCGCGAGCCGGUCGGCUCCUCGCGGACGCGACCGGCUGCGGGACGGACUCCACCGCUUCUGCCAGGCAUAAUGUAUGGUUUAGGCACAUUGAAAAUGCGCUCCGGCGCGGCCCAACUCCAGCCGGUCGGUGGGAAUCCUACAUAAAAGGGUCAAUGUCGGAUGGCAGAUUUAUUCUUAUUUCUCAUUAUUUUGAAUGGAGGCAAUUUUCUUCUUACAUACAAAGAAGCUUACCAAGGACUAUUAUUUCUUUUAAUUAAUAUUAAAUGUGACAAAACUAAGAACCCUUUCACUGAAUCAAAGUAGUUAAUAUGAAUAUAUGUAGUAUUUAUAUUUUUACAGAUUCUGGUUUAUAUAGAUAAGGGGGUGGACAGAUACAGUAGUAUAAAACGUGUAAUGUAAACCUUGUAUUGUAUAAUGACAGUGCAAAACAAUCCCCUGUAAAAAUGCAAUAAAUAAGUGAAUCAAAAGUCUCUACUUUAUUAGUCAUAAUUAUGAAUGGCAUAUAUUGAUAAUAUUUCUGUGGAUGUAAUUAUAACAUUAACGUAGCCGUAAUAUUACAGUUAAUGAAUUGCGAGAUAUGUGUAUGGGUUGUAAUACAAUCUGUUUAUUAAA